rnacentral:sRNA from 1 species
GUAGAAGGUGGAGUUGAGCAGCUCUUCCAGCCUGCGCGGAACGUCGUUCUCCCGGUAGUACUCCAUCGCCUGCUGCUUCAGCUUCUGCAGCUCCCUAGUGGUCCCACAGCUGCGGCCGCCGCCUUCUUCCUCCAUGAUGAAAACAUCUGAGACUCAGGGCUAAGCACCUUGCCCAAGGCCACACAACAAGUAGGUGAUGGAGAGUGUUGGCGUGUACGGAUUCUGUGGGUGUAAAGCAAAGAACAAAAUGAAGUGUGAUUCAAGGUGGGAAAUAGCCGCUUCAGCUCCCCCAGGCUGCAGCAGCUACCACACAAAGAAGCAGUCCUAUGGCAAUGACAGGACAUCUGUGUCCAGGAUUUGGAUUUGACGAACUGGCAGUUCCUGCAGGGAUGACGGUACUCCCUAGUUGUGUCUGAAUUGGACGCACCAGCACUUGAGCACACACAAAUGCACGUGAACAGACGGAACAUGUUAUGGGCCUGUUAGCCAAGGAAUGACAGAAUUAAUCCAUGGGCAUUUGCGGCCAGUGUUGUGUUAAACUAAAGGGAAAAAGUGAACUGGAAAAAGCAAUGUUUGUUUUAUGAAAAUCUCAGACCCAGUCCUUAAGUGACAGUUCUGGAAAUGAGGGGUGUCUAAAACAAAGGGCAUCUGAAACUUCGGUUUUUCAGCUUCCUUUCCUUGUCUCAUGACCUCUUUCCUACCCGCUGCCUCUGUUUUCUCUAAUAUGGAACAGUGAAAAUGGGGGCCAGCAAAACAGAUUGUUGAUGUCUGUUGAUUUUAUCAAAGGAAGGUUAGAUUAAGUAAGAUGGCAUAAAUAAGCACACAUAGGACAAUACCUGGCAUAUAUCAGGUGCUCAAUAGCAGUGAAUUCUCUCCCUGCUGUCAUGAAUUCUUGAAGGUUGGAGACCAUGCGCUGUUCUGCGUGCCAAGUUAUUUUUUCGGCCUGAUAGCAGGUGAGUUACUGAGUGAAGACAGAGACUGGAUGCUAAUUCAGCUCUGAAUCUUCAGCACCUGGCAUGGAAGGUGCACAGGACAUAUUUGAAAAAGGAGAAUUAAUAGAAUUGACCAAUAGGCUGACCUCCUGAAUGAUGACUGAGCAAAUUGAUCUAGAGGUAUUCAAAACAGUUUAGUUGACUGUCCCAAACUUUCUCAGACCUCUUCUGCCACUGACUUCCCUGAAAAGACCCUUUGCGGCCAGGCACGGUGGCUCAUGCCUGUAAUCCCAGGAUGUUGGGAGGCUGAGGUGGGCAGAUCAUGAGGUCAAGAGAUUGAGACCAUCCUGGCCAACGUGGUGAAACCUCGUCUCUACUAAAAGUACAAAAAUUAGCUGGGUGUGGUGGCACGUGCUUGUAGUCCCAGCUAGUUGGGAGGCUGAGGCAGGAGAAUCGCUUGAACAGGGGAGGCGGAGGUUGUAGUGAACCAAGAUCGUGUCACUGCACUCCAGCCUGGCAAUAGAGCGAGACUCUGUCUCAAAAAAAAAACCAAAAAAACAAAAACAACCCUUUUGCAUUUUUGUCCUAUCCUGUUUUCCUUCCCUUUGAGACCGUAUCACACGUUCUUUUUCCUCUUUGGUGACCUUCUUUGUCUUUCUUGCUGCUCCUGUACACUGUUGUUUACUCACACUGCUUUUAUUCUGAGCUCUCAUAUCUCUUCUAUUUCUGGUUCUGACGCCUAUCUUGUCUAUGCCUCGCACACUCACCUCCGACUCGGAGUCCUGACCUGCACAGCCGCGAUUGCGGUUUGCACACUUUGAGGGUGAACAGUUGUCAUGCAGCCCUUUUGAGUGCUAAAAAGUGACCACUUAAGAUUUUCCUCGUGGUUAGGAAGAUGAGUAUUUUAAAAUCAUUCUGGAGGAGAUUAGUGGUAAAGAAAACCUUCCUCAGCAACUAAAUCAUUGUGGAAAAAUAAGCCAAUUAGUCACUAAAACAAAAACCUUUUGAAGACUUGUGAACAGAGGAAAGAACAUGUGAAUGACAGGUUUUCUGUUUUGUGGCAUUGAUAGACUCCAGUAGUAUUCAUGAUCGCUGAUCAUCACGAUGGUGACCCCGGAAAGGUGAAAUUAUGUUCAGUUGAAUAUUACCUAACCCUUCUCAAAGGACAAUUUGAUUUUGUUAUUCCAUUGUUAAGGGCUUUUUGGUGGCCCUUCAAGAUCUGGCUCUGGCUUCUCUUUGACCUUGAACCCUCACUCUGGUUGUGCUGAUCUGCUGACCGUCCUCCAGACACGGUAGGGUGUUCCAUGCCACAGGGCCUUUGAACAAACCUUUCUUAUCCUUGGAAUAAAUGCCUUUUCUUCCUUUUGUUCCCCUGCCAAACACAUGCUAUUAGGAAAGAUUCAGCCCCAUGUCAUCACCUCCACAAAGCUUCUCCUGACACUUCCCAAGUUAGAUUGACCUUUUUCUCUUUUGUGCCCCCCACUGUCGAACUUGAUGUUCUUGUCAAUGACAACAAUAGUGGUAACAAUGAUGGUUUCCUUUCAUUGAGUGCCUUUUGGUUCCAGUAAGUGUAAGUGCUUUCACUUGUUAUAUCAUUUAAGCCCUGCCACCCUAUGAAGAGGCCACUAUUAUACAUACAGUCAUGCAUUGCUUUAUGACAGGGAUAUGUUCUGAGAAAUGCGUUAUUAGGCAAUUUCAUCAUUGUGUGAACAUCAUAGAAUGUACUUCCACAAACCUAGAUGAUAUAGCCUACCACACAACUAAGCUAUUAUAUGCAGGACAGUCUGCUGCUAGCUGCUUCUAAGCUACAGACCAUAUAUAUGUAUAUAUGUACAUAUCCUCUCCCUGCCCCUCUUGCUCUUUAUAUAUAUAUGCAUAUACCUAUAAUAUAUGCAUAUUUACAUAGGCUUUUAUAUAUAUAUUAUAUAUGUGUACAUAUAUACAUUUAUUUUUUGAGACAGGGUCUUGCUCUGUCUCCCAUGCUGGAGUGCAGUGGUAUGAUCACGGCUCACUGCAGCCAUGACCUCCCAGGCUCGAGGGAUCCUCCCAGCUCAGCCUCCCAAGUAGGUGAGACUACAGGCAUGCACCACCACAUCUGGCUAAUUUUUGAAUUUUUUUUGUAGAGAUGGGGUUUCACCAUGUUGCCCGGUUCUCAGACUCCUAGGCUCGAGUAAUCCACCCACCUUUGCUCCCAAAGUGGUGGGAUUAUAGGUGUGAGCCACCGCAACCAGCCCAUAUAUGCAUAUUUAAUAUACAUGUGUAGCAUAUACAUACACAUAUACACAUCUAUGCACAUAAAUUAACAAUAUGUAUAUAUGUGCAUAAAUUCACAUAUAUUUUCUGUAUAAAGACAGCAAGAGAGGCAGGCGGAGAAAGAAUCAGUUGCAGUCUGGAGGAAUAUACAUGUGUUACGUGGUUUCUCUGACUUUAAAUUCUCUGUUAAUGUGUAUUCCUUGUAAAGUAGAUGACAGCAUGUAUCUUGGCCUGCACGUUUCUGAAGACAAACCUCUAAGCUCUUAAAGUUCUGCCAUGGUGUGUCAUAGUACAUUGAAGUCAGAAAGCCCAUUAGAGGAGGAGGAUGCCUGGCUAGAAUAGUGUUCUUGAGUUUUUCCAUGUGUGUUGUCUCAGGUAGGAAGAUGAGAAGUCCUACUUUGUUCUUGUGUGAUUCCUCAUCAUUCGGUCCGUGGAGGCUGAGCUUGUUAAUGGUGGUGAACACGAGUUUCGUUCUUUGCCAGGAGUGCCCACCAGUGCCCAUAACGCCCUCCCGGAAUGUGCCGGGCAGUAUGUUUAGGGUAAGACUGACUAACGACCCAACACUGACAACGGCCUUAGCACAAACCCAAAAGGCUCUGCUAGAGCUCAGAGGCAGCCACGAGAUUGGGAGAGCUGGAUGACGGUUUGCUAAGAGAAUUCAAGCUGUCAGUCCUCCUGUGUAUCCUUUGGAUUCUGUUAUGCUGUUGCUUGUAGAGGGAAAAAGUUCAUGUGUCAUUUAUAUACAAGUGCCCAUUUGACAUUGAGUGAGUCACAUUUAUUUUACCCUAUAUGAACACAAAAUCUCUGUUUUAAAAUUAGAUUCUAGAACUUUAAAAGGGUUCUUACGUAUUGUUCUGAAGUAACUCGGUGGCUCUUGGUGAGCCCGCCCCACCUGGCCUGUUGGGUGACCCUCUUCCUGCCCCCUCACCGGUUCUGCUCCUUGUUCCUCUCUCUGUGCCUUGGCUCCCCUUCCCAGAGCCCUUCCUCUUGGUCUUGCCAAAUCCUGCCCAUCCUUUGAGAAACUCUUAUGCCCAUGGCUGUCUUACCCCUUCCUGCUUUGCUGUGGUAUCCAUUAGUCUGUUCUCGCGCUGCUAAUAAAGACAUACAAAAGACUGGGUAAUUUAUAAAGGAAAGAGGUUUAAUGGACUCACAUUUCCACAUGGCUGGGGAGGCCUCACAAUCAUGGUGGAAGAUGAAGAAAGAGCAAAGGGACUUUUUAUGUGGCGGCAGGAAGGAGAGCUUGUGCAGGGAAACUCCCAUUUAUAAAACUGUCAGAUCUCAUGAGACUUAUUCACUACCAUGGGAACAGUAUGGGGGAAACUGCCCCCAUGAUUCAAUUAUCUCCACCUGGCCCUGCCCUUGACACGUGGGGGUUAUUACAAUUCAAGGUGAGAUUUGGGUGGGGACACAGCCAAAAUAUAUCUGGCAUAUGCAAUCUGAUCACCCCUUCCAAACUUCUCUCUUAAAAAUGCAACACUCUGACAGCAUGUGGAGGCUUGGAUGGAAACACGGUAAAAAUUACAACAUUGUUUCUCACACUUUUGCACCAAAGUGAUACAAAUCGCAGAGCUGAGGCAACUGGUGUUUCUGCGAGAAUGGAAUGGAAUGUGGUUGAAAUUUUGUGUUGUUUUUUAAAUAUUUGCAACUAUUUGUUGUUCUUCCAUAAAAAUCAGAAUUCAUGGUUGUGUACAUAAAAGUAAUUUUCUAAAGUG